rnacentral:rRNA from 1 species
UACGGAGGGUGCAAGCGUUAUCCGGAUUCACUGGGUUUAAAGGGUGCGUAGGUGGGUUGGUAAGUCAGUGGUGAAAUCUCCGAGCUUAACUUGGAAACUGCCAUUGAUACUAUCAGUCUUGAAUAUUGUGGAGGUCAGCGGAAUAUGUCAUGUAGCGGUGAAAUGCUUAGAUAUGACAUAGAACACCAAUUGCGAAGGCAGCUGGCUACGCAUAUAUUGACACUGAGGCACGAAAGCGUGGGUAGCAAACAGG